GUUUUUUUAUCUUAUAGCCGACCAUCAGUGAACCUAUUUCUAAUUCUCAAAACAUGAAACAUGUGACACACAGUGAGAAGCCGGAUACAAGUCUCUCGGCGUAUUAUGAUGAGGGUGAUCGUCAUGAGACUUCACAACACAAUGCCUCUUAUGCCUGGGGGCAGAAAGAGGCUCUGUUUCCUGACAAUGAUGAUAGAGAGAGAGACGGGAGGAUGGAAGAGGAACGUUACUUCUCUGUCAAUAGAGGGAGUAGCUUUAUGUCAUCAGGUGUGAUGGUCUAGGACAGGAGGAUCUUGCUGUGCCAUAUACAUUGACCCCAAAAACAAUUAAGAUACUUAAUUCAGAUACUUACUUGUGUAAAAGUAGAAACAUAUGUUUAACAUAAAAAAUGUACAGUAAAAUAUUAAAAAAUCCUUACAAACAUGUUUACCAAAAGUUUUUUUUUAAUUUUUAAUUAAAGCUGGACAGUACUUUUUUACUCUAGUAUAUUUUCAAGUUUUUGUACCUUAGUGUUUCCACUUUCGAAAGAAUAUACUUCAUUAUAUUCUAAAGCAUCUGUCAUACUUAUUACUCCACUAAAUUUCAUAAAUACAAGUUGUUUUUCCUUUUUAUACUUAAAAAGUAAAAUUAAGAAAGUACUAGAUUUAUAAUUGAAAUAAAAAUAAAAAAUAAACAUUUACUGUAUUUAUGAAAGGUAGUGGAUAUACCGUAUGCUUUAUAAUGUAGGGAAGUUUCAAAGUGAAAACAUCUGAUAAAAUACUUGAACAUUUUCUCAAAUACUGUCCACUGUGCAUUUCUGGUUGCCAAGCAUAAUGGAACAUGUCCAUAGUUAAUGUGACAAAUUGCACAUCUGGUUACUCUGAUAAGACGCCUGUGUGAACUUGAGUGUAAAGACUUUUUGGGGCCAUCCACUGUACUGUAAAUGAGGAGUCAAAAAGAGAUGACAUGUUUUUAGAGCCCUAUUUUAUACUGUAAUGUGAACACUACACUGUGGAAUUUCUAUACUUUUUAUAUUCAUUAGUAUUAAGUAAAUAUUACGUUUUUUAAACUGUAUUUUAAAUAUCUUUUAUUUUUUACUGUACACAAUGUUAGCUAAACACUGUAUGAGCCAUUCUCGAAAGAGGCUCUUUCUUACUGAAACCUCAACGGUUGAAUGAAGGCAUUUGUGCUUGUCUGUGUGCACUUAUAUAUGUAGCUGUGCACACACACUUUAUUUGUCUGUUUGUAUCUAAUAUCAUUUAUCUUUUCACAAUUUUGUUUGCAUGUGAAGGUGCAAACAAAAUGCGUCAUGUGUGUCGCCUCCGAAUGUGUGAAUGUGUAAUAUUAAGAAUAACGCCUGUUGUUUUAGUUAUAAAAACACAAUGAGCCAGUGAUAAACACAUUUAAUUGAUUGAAACAUACAAUUCAAAAAGAGAAUUGUAAUCAAUAAUGACAUACAUUGGUGCAAUGUACAAUCAAGAAUGCUAGAAGCUUCUUUUCUCGGUGAAAAAAAUCAGCUCUAAAACAAAAAGGGUUUUAUUUGUUUACUCCUCAAUCUUCCAGCCUUCCUCUAUGUUGUUUAAUUGAUUUAAAAUGUUACCUUACAAGAUUGAGUUUUUUGUAUUGAUUUUUAGAUUUAGUACAACACACUAGAUCUAAUUAUUCGCAUCCUGUUGCAAUUUAUUUUUAUUUAAUUGCAUUGAUUUCUUUGUUUUUAGUUUGCUGCUCUGGAGUAUUAAUCUUUGUUACAGUCUUUUCCCCUGUACUGCUAUUGAUUGUUCAUUCUCAAUAAACGGUGAAAGGGU